UUUUUCAAGAGUUUUAUCCAAUUCUCAGGAUUCUUGCUCAGGGUUUACAUGUUUUGGUUUAAAUAUGAAAUAUGUACAACCGUGAGUGGAGACCUGGAGGUUGGUCAGUCAACAGCUUUGCUGU
rnacentral:precursor_RNA from 15 species